ACCGGGGCUCAACUUUUCGGUUUUAGGGUGCGGGGGCACAAUUAGGUUAAGGGUAGAUAUAAUCGGAUUAUGGUAUAAUACAUACAUGUAGUUAAAAUCGCUCUCCAAUGUCGAUUUCCUGGGUGAGUAUCCUAUUCAAUCGAGGUGAGUUUCCAUUCUUGAGUACCGGCAAUUAAGGUGUUCGAAGAGAGGUGCGUUUCAAUUCCUCCCCGAAUCUGAGUACUGGCGAUUAAGGUGUUCGAAUAGAGGUGAGUUUCAACUCCUCCCUGAAUCUAAAUACCGGCGAUAAAGGCGUUCGAAGAGAUUAAAUUCUAGCGUUUUUUCACUAGAACGAGUUGAUUAUCGACUUUUACACAUCAAGUUUUGAAUUCAUAUAGUUUAGUGGCAUGAGUUCGUGUCAAUAACAUAGGUAAUAUCUAAAUUUAUAUCAUCAUUAUCAUCAUCAUUCCAUCAUACAUAAUAACACAAUGCCUAUAAUGUCAUCUUCAUGUGUUGUUCGUCAACAGGUCCGCCAUGGUCUCAUACGUAGCGUAUUACCCAAACUUUCUUGCUCUGUGUCACAACUCACCGGACCCCCCGAAAUCUAUAAAAUCUUUAAUCCACCUUCACCACCGCUACCACCACCACCAUCGAGUGGAAACCCAUUAUUUGAUUUUUUUUUUCUACCAUGUUGUUCCUGGCAUGAAAUCUAAAAGGGUGAUUAGAAGAUUAGAAUUAGCUUGGAAUUUUGAUUCAUCGAUUGCUUUGAAGUUGAUAUGCAAUUUAAGGGGCGUUAGAGGGACUACAAAAUCAGAUAAAAGAAGUUUUUAUGCUGCAGCAUUAUGGCUUCAUAAGCAUCACCCUAAAACCCUGGCUUGUAAUUUGAAGGCAUUUGCUGAAUUUGGUUAUUUCAAAGACCUGCCUGAGAUUCUCCAUCAGAUAUUAGCAAAGGAAUCUCGCAAGGAGGAGGAGCCGCUGCUGCUGCUCCCCAAAUCACCGUUCAAAGUAUACCCUAUGAGCAGGGGUGAACGGAUGACUUACAGACGAGAAGUACCUGCAGAUAUAAGGAUCCAGGAUAGUAUGAAAAGAGUUCAGAGAGUGAAAGAAAAGGCGGGUAGAAAGAGAAAUGAAGCAAGAAUCAGGAAAGCAGUAAGAGCAAUCGAGAUGUACAAUGGGGAUGCGAAUUACAGAUUCUUACAUGACCGAAUCUCUGACGUCUUCGCUGAGUGUUUAGUUUCUGAUUUGCAAAACCUGAAUUCUGGUAAAAUUCAGAACAUUAGUUUUGCUUCAAAGUGGUGUCCAUCUUUAGACUCAUCGUAUGAUCAGUCAACUUUUUUGUGUGAAAGUAUUGCCAGAAGAAUCUUCCCUCGUGAUUCAUUUCCAGAGUAUGAACCUCAUUACACAUUUAGAAUCCGUGAUCGUCUAAGGAAACAAGUACUCGUCCCUCUUCGUGGUGCACUAAAAUUACCUGAAAUUUACAUGAGUUCAAACAACUGGGCGAUGUUGCCUUACAACCAAGUUCCCUAUGUUGCCUUGAAAAGGUACUGGAAAACCUUCAUGAAGCAUGACAAAGUAAGUUCAAGUGUUUUCGAGAGAGUGUAAGACGAGAUAUAAAGAUUGCUGCGGAAACUUUACUACCUCACCAGAUCUUGGCGGCUUCCAAAUAUGAUUGUAACGUUGCAGAGCUUCAAUGGAGGCGAUUGGUGGAGAAAUUGUUGAAAGUCAGUAAUCUAAAAGGUUCUCUUGCAAUUUGCGACAGAGUUACAGGUAGAAGAGCAAUACUUGUCUCCGUCGCUCUUAGUUUGUUAGUAUCAGAGAUGAGUCAAGGACCUUGGAAAGGAAAACUUAUGGAAUUCUGUGAGUUUCCUAAGCUGCGGAAGAUUGAAGGCGACAAUUUGAGAUUCAAGAAAUAUUUUAUCAGAGAAGAAAUGAUGUUCCAUCGUAAUACAGAUUUCCUGAAGAUUAUCUACAAAAUAUUGCAAGUAGCAGUUGAUGAGAACUUGAAGGAAGAUGAAAUGAUAAAGAGGCUUUAUGUGUUCACUGAUGUGAAGUUUAUCCAUGCUUCUGGUAAGGUCACUAUGUAUGGUAUUGAACCUUACGGUGAGGUAUUGCAUAAAGUUAACGGCGACUGGGAGACGGAUUACCGGGAGAUACAGAAGAGGUUUCGAGAGAGUGGGUUCUCGAAUGUGCCUGAGAUUGUGUUUUGGAACUUGGGAGUUGGGACAUCCCGUAGCAACUGUAGUUAAGGGUGGAUAUAAGGGCGUGACACUAGUCAGUGGGAUUUCUUACAAGUUGCUGAAGUUGUUUAUAGAAGGGGAUAUCAAUGGUAUAAAUCCAGUGGCUUCAAUGGAAACAGCAAUCUUGGGAAAGGAAUACGACAAACUUGUCGUAGUUGAUUGAAAAGCUGGAUUUUCUGGUAUGCACGUUCCUAUAUUGUUAUGAUCUAUUGCUGAUAUAAGUCCAAAAGGAAAAACAUUAGAGGAUUCAUUGAUUAUCUUUCUGUCUUCAGUUUCGUGAGUAAAUUGUUCUUUAAUUAGUCGAAACUUGAAACUGUUAUGUGUCGUUCAUGUGCUAAAACUAUUUUGCAAAAUGUGUUUGUUCGCUUCUCAGGCAGAACAUGACAUUCCUGUAGUCUUUUACCUACAUGUUCUUGUUUUUAUCCGUUUUCUUUGGUGGGUGGAACGUUUACUCUAUUUUAUCAAGGCUGCUGUGGUGGAUUCAUUUUGCUUCUCGAGGCAUUAGUUCCAAUUUGCGUAAAAUGGUUGAUGAUAGUGCAGCUGAAGUUGAUUCUGCAUCACCAGACUUCUGGGUUAUGGUGGCAGCUCUGAAGGUGAUGGUGAAGCACCUCUUGAGGAAGCUAUACCAGAUAUGACUUCUUCAACAGAAUUCUACGUGAAUUUGCAGAAGACAUACCAAGCCAAAGCCGAGGAAGAUUUUCUUGCAGUUGAGAAGAAGGGUGAGAGAUAUUCUAAAAAGAGUUGGCAGAGAUCCCGCUUCCAUUUCCAAAGGAAACAUUAAAAAAAAUUCUGUAAUCCUGAACAUGGAUUUCGGUGGAUCAAAAUUAUAGAGAGAUUACUGUUGCUGCAAAGAAUAGAAUAAGUCAUAUCCUGGCUAAGCGAAAGCUUGAAACUGACACACCGAAUGAGGUUGAAGCUGGAAGGGUACAUGAAAUGAAAUGAAGUGUUGGGUGGAAGUUAAUGGUCGUAAUCUUUCAGAAUGUAAAAUAGUACCAAUUGAGCAGGUUGAUCUAAACUCGGCUGUGAUACAUGUAGUUGAAUGUGAAAAAGGUCAUACAGCCAUGGCUGUUACCAUCCCGAGCUGGUAUGCAGAUACUGUCCUAUUGAAGAUGUUCAAUUCUCCUACCUUGUCGGAGUUGCAGAAGUAUUCGACUGAUGAAGACUACAGUAUUGCCGUUGGGUUCUACAUUCUGCUCCGAGCUAUUGACCCCGUUUGCUACUAACUACAACAGAUUCUUGGUCUUUUUGAUGGUGCUGUGGAUGAGGAGAAGACUAGCUGUUGGCGUACUAAGUGACUUGGGUUGCAACGGGACAACCUUGACUGACGACUUGAUCAGUGAAAUGCAUUGAUUUGGUGGUGCGGAGCUCCAUACUGUAGCUGCUGUAAUAGGUGGAAUUGCUUCACAAGAAGUUACUAAGCUCACCGAGAAGCAAGACAUUUAUCUUGUAGAAAUUAACGUCGAGUCUCAUUUUGAGUGGGCUUUGGAAGCUUUAAUCCACUCCUUCGAAGUCCAGGACGCUCUAGUCCGAAUAUCCCGGCUUUUUACUGUUUAGUCCAAAACUUGGCGUGGAUAAUAGUGUUUAACUCGUCGGAAUUAUGCUUUGCAACGCUAAUCUCGGAUUCACUAUAUUGUCCCAAUGGCUUCGCAAUAGUAUUUCCGUCUCUAACCACUGUUGGCACAUCAUAUCUAAUAACUACAAAUUUUCAUAUCUCAAAGUCACAGGCUUGUAAAAAGGAACGCAUAACAAUUUUUCACCAUGUGUAAUUUGAGACAUCAAAUGCUGGCAGUACGAAUAUUGAGAUUGAACUUUUGUCCAUA